CAGUCGCCGCGGGAAUACGUAGGUCCCGAGCGUUGUCCGGAUUUAUUGGGCGUAAAGGGAGCGCAGGCGGUUUAGUAAGUCUGAAGUUAAAGGCAUUGGCUCAACCAAUGUAUGCUUUGGAAACUGUUAGACUUGAGUGCAGAAGGGGAGAGUGGAAUUCCACGUGUAGCGGUGAAAUGCGUAGAGAUGUGGAGGAACACCAGUGGCGAAGGCGGCUUUUUGGCCUGUAACUGACACUGAGGCGCGAAAGCGUGGGGAGCAAACAGGAUUAGAUACCCCUGUAGUCCCUGUCUCUUAUACU
rnacentral:rRNA from 1 species